rnacentral:rRNA from 1 species
UAAUACGUAGGGUGCGAGCGUUAAUCGGAAUUACUGGGCGUAAAGCGUGCGCAGGCGGCUUUGCAAGACAGAUGUGAAAUCCCCGGGCUCAACCUGGGAACUGCAUUUGUGACUGCAAGGCUAGAGUACGGCAGAGGGGGAUGGAAUUCCGCGUGUAGCAGUGAAAUGCGUAGAUAUGCGGAGGAACACCAAUGGCGAAGGCAAUCCCCUGGGCCUGUACUGACGCUCAUGCACGAAAGCGUGGGGAGCAAACAGGAUUAGAUACCCUGGUAGUCCACGCCCUAAACGAUGUCAACUGGUUGUUGGACGGCUUGCUGUUCAGUAACGAAGCUAACGCGUGAAGUUGACCGCCUGGGGAGUACGGCCGCAAGGUUG